UAGGGAAUCUUCGGCAAUGGGGGCAACCCUGACCGAGCAACGCCGCGUGAGUGAAGAAGGUUUUCGGAUCGUAAAGCUCUGUUGUAAGUCAAGAACGGGUGUGAGAGUGGAAAGUUCACACUGUGACGGUAGCUUACCAGAAAGGGACGGCUAACUACGUGCCAGCAGCCGCGGUAAUACGUAGGUCCCGAGCGUUGUCCGGAUUUAUUGGGCGUAAAGCGAGCGCAGGCGGCUUGAUAAGUCUGAAGUUAAAGGCUGUGGCUCAACCAUAGUUCGCUUUGGAAACUGUCAAACUUGAGUGCAGAAGGGGAGAGUGGAAUUCCAUGUGUAGCGGUGAAAUGCGUAGAUAUAUGGAGGAACACCGGUGGCGAAAGCGGCUCUCUGGUCUGUAACUGACGCUGAGGCUCGAAAGCGUGGGGAGCGAACAGGAUUAGAUACCCUGGUAGUCCACGCCGUAAACGAUGAGUGCUAGGUGUUGGAUCCUUUCCGGG
rnacentral:rRNA from 1 species